rnacentral:rRNA from 1 species
UACAGAGGGUGCGAGCGUUAAUCGGAUUUACUGGGCGUAAAGGGCGUGUAGGUGGAUUGAUAAGUCAGAUGUGAAAGUCCCGGGCUUAACCUGGGGAUUGCAUAUGAUACUGUUAAUCUAGAGUGGAGUAGAGGGUAGUGGAAUUUCCGGUGUAGCGGUGAAAUGCGUAGAUAUCGGAAAGAACACCGGUGGCGAAGGCGGCUACCUGGACUCCAACUGACACUGAGGCGCGAAAGCGUGGGGAGCGAACAGG